AUUAAUGACAUACUAUAUCACAGCCUUGAUAAAUAUGCUGUAAACACCUUCGGGUUAAUAUGCCAGACUCGAAGUGUUAUAAAAAAAAAACUUGAUUCUGAACUGUCAAAAUACAAAUAUCCAAAAUGUUUGGUAAGCCUGAAUCUUAUACAAAUAUCCGUAUACAAAAUCGUAGCGUACAAUAACUAUGCUGUUGUAUAUAGUUAGUAGCCGACUGACUGUCUUGAUAGUCAUUGAAUACCACGCUUGAAUCAUAUGUGUGUGGCUCACCACACGUCAUCAAGUUAAAUCUCACGCCUCCGCAUAGAAUCAUAGUUAAAAGACGUUUACACGAAGUCGUAAUCGUUGCAUUCGCAAAAGACCGUGUAAGCAUCAGGAAUGGAGCGUGACAUAAUCGCGUUAAUUAUGAUCCAUGAAGUCUCGUUGUGUUUAAAGAGACAUGCAAAACCGGAAGCCAAGGACACGUAGGAGUUUCCGUUAUGAGUGUUAGGACUGUGGAGAAUAAUUAGAAAUGCAGAUAACUUUCUUAAGUGCGGCAUACACGUAAUCGUGGGACUAGGAGAGAAAAAGUUCAACUGCAAGAAUGGAAUUUUGUACUUCAGAGUCGAAUAAAGGUCGUAACUUAUUGUAGCAUCUUACUUUGAAGUUUUAUAAAGCUUGACGAUGACUUCAAGUGGAUGAUUGGUCAGUCUUUUAUCCGUUGCUGUACGCUCGUUAUGUAUACGAAUGAAUGUAUUUUUCAUUUGAUUCACAGCGAUCGGGUUUUUUGUAUUAGCUGAUCACGUUUUUUAAAAGCUAUCGAGGUAAUAGGAUUUAUUGUAAUUUAGUAAACUCCUUGACGCUUUCGUGCCAUGACGAGCAUUGCUUCUGAUUAACGAUAAAGUUAUUGAAUUAGGAUUUUGUAUGUCGCGAGGAGAUGUGGUAUGUGUAAUAGACUCUGUUUUACCGACCUGGGCUCACUGCCUAAUUUUCCUGUCUCCGUAGGUAAUUCAGAGUGGCAAAACCAACGACGAUGAAUGCACAGAUGCAUCUAUUUGCGAUAUCGUAGUCAACAAUAUGAACGCACCUUUAUUCUGUAGAACCUGUUGUGUAGGAAAGUGACACAGAUAGUAAAUAUAGUACAGCAAAAGCGUGAGGUUAUUUUGUUUUAA